UACGGAGGGAGCUAGCGUUGUUCGGAAUUACUGGGCGUAAAGCGCACGUAGGCGGCUUUGUAAGUUAGAGGUGAAAGCCCGGGGCUCAACUCCGGAACUGCCUUUAAGACUGCAUCGCUUGAAUCCAGGAGAGGUGAGUGGAAUUCCGAGUGUAGAGGUGCAAUUCGUAGAUAUUCGGAAGAACACCAGUGGCGAAGGCGGCUCACUGGACUGGUAUUGACGCUGAGGUGCGAAAGCGUGGGGAGCAAACAGG
rnacentral:rRNA from 1 species